rnacentral:lncRNA from 1 species
AAAUAUUUGUAUACACCAACGUUCGUUUCGGGUUUUGAGACUGCUAUAAAUAUGAGUCUAAUCAGUUGUAAAUUUAUUCAUUCACGUAAUAAUAUACAAAUUCUAAAAACGGGUAUUUGCCUCAAUAUGUUUUGCUCUUGAGUUAUUUGCUUUCUUCAAGUUUGAUUCGUGUUUGUUCACAACACACUACAAUUUUUUUAAGUAUUAUAACUCAGUUUAGGACAAGUUACUUACCGUGACAUUGACACUUAUUCCAGAAGCAAUGACAUCUCUGAUGGAAGGAAUACAUGGAGCAGUAGCAGGGAUCUUAAUAUAGACAUUACGACGGUUCACAGACUUGUGAAGAAGUUUAGCAGCUUUAACAGUGGUUUUGGUAUCAUCAGCAAGCAGAGGUGAAACUUCAACAGAAACAUAGCCAUCCUCAGCAUCAGUCUGGUCAUAGAUUGGCUCAAAAAGCUUGCAAGCAUCUUGAAUAUCCUUCACCACAAGCUCCCAGUACGCUUUUUUAAUGGCCGUUCCAGACUCCACAAGUGUCCUAAUAAAAACAAAAAGAAACUGAUUCUAAUACAGCCAAAAAAGCAUCAUAAAGAUAUGCAUCCACACUAUUACCUGAACUGAUCAUUAUAAGCAUCUGAAGUGGAUAUGGCUUUCUGGAAGAUCUACAAAGGUUUUAAUAGAGUGAAGGAGUUUUAAGACAAAAUGAAACAACCAGAGAGUAAAAUAAAGGUAAAAGGGCACAAAGAGAGAUGGUUAUUAAAAAAUUACCGCAGGGUUGCUAGUUACACCACGAACGCCACGGGCAAUGAAGGGGAUAAGAUCAGUGACAGGACGGCAUAGAUUAUCAUACCAAGGACUCUGGCCUUCCUUCUCAUAUAGAUCGUGAAGAGUGGUUCUCUUUGCAGUACUUCCAUUUCCACCAGAGGCUGAACACCUCACACUGUAAAAUCAACCAAAGGAAGAAAGAGUACAUAAAAUCAAAUUCUGCUGCAGAUAGAGAAACAUAUAGUUUGCUUUUCUUAAACCAACCUAUCAACGUGAAUUGCAAGAUCAACCUUAUAGCAAGAAAAAGACUAUAGAGAGACAAGACACAUGCAUCAGUAAAGUUGAUAUGUAUACUUACAAGAGGGAAGGUCUGGUCUGUUUGUUGUAACGAAUAGAAAGAUGGGAAGCAGAAGAAAGCUUGGCGUUAAAACUGCGGAUGUUAACGAAGGAUCUUGGUAUGACAGAGGAAGAUCUGGGGCAGGUGGAAGUUGCGGGAGUAAGGUUGGUGAGAUUGGAAAUGGACGCCAUUUUUUUCCAGCUGGGGAAGUAUGAAAAGUGUUAUUCUUGGUUUGAUCGGAUGAUAAAAACAAGAAAAGUGAGAACCAAUGGGGUUUUGCUGGAAUGGUGAGUUAGGUGGACUAGUAAAAAUGAUGGAUUGCUGCUCUAAUAGUUGUCUGAUACAGAAUAGUAACAAUAAUCCAUCGAGCUAAUGGUGUCUUAUGAUAAACAUGAGAGGUUGCUUCACGUCUUGUAAUAGCUGCUGUUAGUUUGCAAGGGGUCGUACUUUGACUAAUCGUACUUUGAAAAGGUCAAACGUUUAGAAGACAAAAUGAGUCGAGAUACGGAACUCUUUGUUGUACAUACAGCUUUUAAUUUUUGAUAGCGCCUACAAACUUAAGAGAUACCAACUGAUCUGUUUAGGCAUGCAUAUGAUAAGCAUUAAACAAUAAACACAGACUAUAAACAGUCUUUCACCAUCAUCAUCGAAAAACAGAACUUAGAGUACACGUUCAAUAAAUAUGACAAGUUUCUUAUUAUUCAGCAAAAAAACAAGACAAUCUUGCUCUAAAUUGCCUUAAUAUUAAAAGAAAAAAACAGAUGAGAAUCUUUGAGACACAGACACUGUCUGCUGUUGUGCUUUUAUUCGUCAUUAACCAAUGAGUAACUUAUUCUCUUCCAAGAAGCUGUAGGUUGGUACCUCCAGGUUGUAUGGAGCAGGACCUUUCCUAAUCCUUCCAGAGAUAUCAUAAUGCGAACCGUGACAAAUAUGGCUGAUUCGGAUAAAUUUAAAUAUUUUGGUUACAAAUAUUUUUUGAAUAAUUCGGUUCUUUCAAGUAUUUCAAAUAGUUUUAAAUAUUUCAGAUAAAAAAAUUCUGGAUAAUUUGGUUUAUAAAUGAUAUUUUAGAAGUUCAGUAAAUUUUCAAUAAUAUAAAUUAUAUUUUAGAUAGUUACAUACCAAUUUAAUUUUCGCUUCAGUUUCGGUUUUGGAUUUCCAAGAUAUGGAAACUGUUUAAAUAAUUGUGAACAUCGGUUUGGUUUUGGAUUAGUUUUUUCAGAUUUGGUUCAGUUUUCAGCUUACUCACAAUAUGUAAAAGUUACUUAUAAAUUGAAGUAACUCCACUAAAACAUCAUAAUACAAGAACAAGUGUGAACAUGCCAUAUAACAGCUCUAGGAAACGUAGAGUUUGAAGAACAAAGCCGAAGGCUCUUCUUUUAUUCCAUUACUACAGUAAACAAAACGAAGAGCCAAGGUUCAAAUCUGUGACGUUAAGCGUUUUCUUUCUCCUCUUCAUUGGCUGGCUAGUUUGAGAGAGUUGGCCUUGUCUUGAAGUGUACCAAGCAGACUCUCGAAACUCUUCUUGAACGAGUCUACACCUUCUUCUUCCAACUGUUCUCCCACUUUGUUCCAGUCUAUUCCCAGCUUCUCUAGUGCACUGUACACCCCUUCUGCUUCUGACACAUUCGCAUCUAUCGUCCUCUUCACCGUUCCAUGGUCAAUGAACGCUUCCAGCGCUUGAUCCGGCAUGGUUGACACCUAAACCCAAACCAAAAAUAUAAACACUUGUUUUGGGAAGUGAAACAUGAGACGGCAAACACAAAAGAUGACUCACAGUGUCAGGUCCAAUGAGAGGAGCAACAUAUAAAGUGUCAGAGUAAGCUGGGUUCUUGACACUUGUCGAUGCCCAGAGAAGCCUCUGCUUCUUGGCACCUUUCUUCACCAAAGCUUCCCAUCUUGGGCCUGAGAACUUUUUCUGGUAUAGUUGGUAUGCUAAUGCAGCUUGAGCCACAGCCGCCUGCAAGAACAACACAUCAGGUGUUCACAAACUCAUAAACUCAUUCACAGCAAUGAACCGAGAUUUUACCUUGCCACGGAGGUCUAGAGCUUCUGGGGUACCAAUCUUCUCAAGCAUCUUGUCCAUGAGAGUAUCCACCCUACUCACAAAGAAGGAAGCAACACUUGUAACUCUUGAGAGGUCAUCAAGUCCAGACGCCUCGAGUCCAUCCAAAUAUGCAUCGAUCACUGCCUCAUAUCUAGCUAUUGAGAAUAUAAGCUGCAACAGAACAGAACAAGGAUGUAUCAUAUAAGAACAUAACCGUUAAUUCCUGGAAAUGUCUUUAAAUAUUUGUAUACACCAACGUUCGUUUCGGGUUUUGAGACUGCUAUAAAUAUGAGUCUAAUCAGUUGUAAAUUUAUUCAUUCACGUAAUAAUAUACAAAUUCUAAAAACGGGUAUUUGCCUCAAUAUGUUUUGCUCUUGAGUUAUUUGCUUUCUUCAAGUUUGAUUCGUGUUUGUUCACAACACACUACAAUUUUUUUAAGUAUUAUAACUCAGUUUAGGACAAGUUACUUACCGUGACAUUGACACUUAUUCCAGAAGCAAUGACAUCUCUGAUGGAAGGAAUACAUGGAGCAGUAGCAGGGAUCUUAAUAUAGACAUUACGACGGUUCACAGACUUGUGAAGAAGUUUAGCAGCUUUAACAGUGGUUUUGGUAUCAUCAGCAAGCAGAGGUGAAACUUCAACAGAAACAUAGCCAUCCUCAGCAUCAGUCUGGUCAUAGAUUGGCUCAAAAAGCUUGCAAGCAUCUUGAAUAUCCUUCACCACAAGCUCCCAGUACGCUUUUUUAAUGGCCGUUCCAGACUCCACAAGUGUCCUAAUAAAAACAAAAAGAAACUGAUUCUAAUACAGCCAAAAAAGCAUCAUAAAG